GUUACUUUACUGAUAAUAAUCACACGUAGUAUGCACCUGACUUUAUACUUUUUGGUUAUUGUAUCUAUGGUCAUGUUUGUUGAGGGAGAACUGUCAGAUUUUGGCGGCGCUUCAUUGCCCGAGGUUAUGUUGGAUUUGUUCUUUGUAAUCUUAUAAUUAAUCCUGUAUGUCGCUGUAAUAAAAGAAAUAUUACUGGAAGCAGUGGUUUGUGUGCUAAACCCCUUUUACUGAGCAUUAAAUCUAUGGAUGAUUUCAACUCAGAAAGCGGGAUUGUGAAUUCAAAUGCCCACAUAGAAAUUGGUUAAUUGUUUUCACCUGUAUGAGGUGCUAUAUUGAACCAUCGCACUGGGAGAUUUCGGCACAACAUCGGCAGAAGUAGAGGUUUACAGUGAAUAAAAAGUGCAAGCCUUUGAAGAGCAGAGGCGAGUCGAACUCGACGCAAGAUGAGUUAAAGGCCCGACCACCUGCGGUCAUAAACUACAAUUUUGUCGGAAGUGUGCAGACCUGCGGUGAAUGUGGAUGUUCAUUCACUGCAAAAAUAGGCUACGUCAGCCACCUGAGAGGUCACGAUCAUCGUUCUCACUAGCCAGUGAAUACUCAGUCGCCGAGGCCGAAACCGGCUAGGACAGGAUGAUCAGAGGUGCGUAGCAAUGUAGGUUGCUUGGUUUUUUUAAAAAAAAGUUUGAGUUUGUUUGAUUGACAAUUGGUUUCAUUUGCUUACCAUAAAAGUUGUUUUAAAUUUGCAAUGUAAGUACUUGACGUUUGCUAUGUAUUGAUCUAGUUACUAACCCCUGUUUUUUUUGUCAUUGUUUGUUUUUGGUCUGAGAGAUGACACGUUGGAAUACAAUGAGAAUAGAUCUCGACGAAAACGCAAGCAAGCAACCAUCAGCUUCAUCACAGUGAGAUUGGUGAGACACAGAGCCAACAAGGUUACGAACGAAGUCAAAAGGGUAAGGAUGACAUUGUGCAGUAUUCAGGUACAAUAUAGGUGCUUAGUGAAGUUAGUUAUUAACACUGAGUUGUAUAAUGACAUUAGGUGAAUAUAUACUAGGUAUUAUUACUAUUUUGGAUAGUCUAAUGACACUAAAAGGUAUUUUAUUUCUAAUGAUGUAUGAGUAUAUAAUGCCUAUACAGGGUGAUUCAGGAGACGUGAGCAGGACUAACACUGCGCAUUUCGUAAAUUAUAAGCAACUGUUUCGUAUCAGUAUUAGUGAGGUUAACGUUAAUUUUCUAGUAGUGUUGAAAAAAAAAGUUAUUAAUUUAUUUACGACAUGCAUGGUCACCCUACAGUUAGAAUACUAAACUACCGAUAUUCUGUGUCAAAUUGAAUGUCAUCACGGACUGGUUACUUUUGAAAACUCGUAUCUCACUCAAGUUUGACAGUUUAUUUUCUUCGUAAUCAUAAUGCUGUCAUUACGGUUAAAGAGGUUUAUUUUUAUUAAUUAGGUCUUGUAGGGUGACCAUGAUUGUAGAGAAUUAAAUUUUCCCUCGCCAAAAAGUUAAAAAAUAGGAAAAAGUGUGGUUGUUUCACCUAAAUACGACGGUGAUCGAUCAAUUAUCAGUUACUGAGUGGGCAGGAUUAGUCCUGCUCACGUCUCAUGAAUCACCCUGUAUAUGGCAAGAGAUAACAAUAAAAUGUUAUGGAUUGGUAUCACAGAGGUUAUUGCCAUGAUGAAUUGAUAGGAUAGCGAAGAUGAGAGGAAGAAACUGAUAGCGGGCUAGAAUUGUAGAUUGGCCCAUGACGGUUAUCAGUGGAAAGAGUUAAAAGAGGCUUUUACCAAGCACCACACUUAUUGAGAUAUAGCUCUAUUUCUAUAUUCCGGUCUCUAAUUCAGAAUAGGUGGUAAUUUAUAAUAGGUGGAUGUGCAUAUAAAUUAUUUUAGAUAAAAGACUGAAGUUAGUUUUUGAUUUGACAACAAAGAAAUUAUUUAUAAACUUUUGUAUAUGAAAAAAAAAUGUUAAUUGAAGAUAUUGAAUGGUAUAUUCUACAUAGGUAGGUACAUGCAUUUAGUUUCAUAUCAUUGUUAUAUUGGAAAUUAUCAAUCUGGAUACUUAGAGAGAAGCACAUACAAACAAUAAUGAAUGAAUGAAAUUACACACAGUAUAAAUUCGAAAUUUGAAAUGACACAGGUAGUUUCACAUCUAUUUCAUAACAUUUAUUUAAAGGUCAUGCAUCUCAACAAUCCAAUUCAUUAGAUUAUGUAAUUCAUUCUGAAGCCUGAAUUUUGUAUAUGAGCAAGGUUUAUAUAAUUUAAAAAUGAAAAACAGAUGUGCAGAAUUUUUGGAAAUCGUCCAGGCUUACCUCACGCUUCACAUACAAAUCAAGGAAGUUUACAUUAAUGAUAUUAAUAUUUCAAAAUGUAAAAGAGACUUGUACUAUUAAUGGUGUCACAAUUAUUUUACAUCAAUUUACCAAAGAAUUAAGUUUGAAAAUAUAAGUAACAAUUACAAAGCAUCAUUAUUAUCAUUCAGGGAACAUGAUGCAUGGUCGCAUUGUGGAUACUGACAUUGCAUAUUAAAAUGAAAGGGUUAAGAUCUCCUUGUAGGUAUUUAAAAGAAAGUGAAUAAGUUCACUAUAUUUGGAAUUCUUGAAUAUCUACUUCAUACCUUCGAAUUGUUGACAAGUGGUAUUUAUAUUUAAACCUUAUUGCACAAAAUAGGUAUACACCAGUGUUCAAAUUUGUUUUUCUAAAUUUAUAAAUUUAAUGCAGGUCUUGUCUAAUGACUCUAGUGAAAGCGUUUGUUGCAUGGGAUUGGCUAAACAAGAACAGAUUACUUUUCGGUGUUGACACAAUAUUUAUUGUCUAAUAAUAUUGCAUAGUAUUCAGUUAUAUUUUUAAAAUUUGACUAGGUAUGCGAAGUUGAAAUAGUACAGUUAUACAUCUGUAAUACCAUGGAUUGCGAUGAAAAAUGAUUAUGAUUACAAUCCAGUAAUAAACCACAAAUGAAACUAUGAAUUAUUGUUGCUAUGAAAUACAAUUUAUUUGUGGCUUUAUGGUUUCAUUUGCAUAAAAACUUAACAGCUGGUGAUGCCUAAUUAAGUUAAUCAAAUGGACGGAUCCUAGAGGUCAUAAAUUGUGGAAUUUGGGUUGCCACGAGGUGGUAAUGGUCAGGAAUAGUGUCGGUCGAAUGCAAAAGCAGAUUACUUGUGUAUACAUUAUCAAUUACUAGGGUCCAUUUAUAAAAUUAAAAUGUUGGCAGGAGCAGUGCCUGUUUGAAAAGACAAGACUUAAAGAAUUCUCAUUGAAAAUUGACUUAAAGAGUAAGGUCGAUGAGUGGGUACAAAUAAUGUCACAAGUUUUAGUGCAGGGUUUUAGUAUGGUUUUGUGCAAAAGUCUGUGACUGACUUAAACAAAAGACUCAACACCAGAGUAAGUUGAAUGAACGAAUCUAAAAGUAUAUAACAUUCAAAUUUAAAGAAGCCUUAUAAAGUAGGCUGUGUAGAAGUAACUUGGAGUUAAUUUUUAUUUUACAUUUCUUUUCAAUUCAUUAAACUUUGAAAGUAUCCUUAAAAUUUGGUUUAUUGUUAGGUUUAACACAUGGUACAUUUAUGAUUUUAUGACGAAGACACAGUGAUGACAAGAGGAAUAGGUUGGUGAUAUUAACCAUGUGAACCAUGAUUCAUAAACACAACAUUUAUGGUUGCAGUUUUACAGCCAUAGCCGAUUGGCUCUAACUAUUAAAAAAAAAAGGUAUAUAAAUAUAUUGGAAUUUAAUUACUUCCAAUAGUUUCAAUAAUAUAGUAGGUGGGGUUAUGACGCUAGUAUUUGCUACGGUGUACUCGGUGUAGUAUACGCUUGUACCUAUUUGGAGCCUUUUCUUUCCGGGUGCAUGUGACCCCGAGGUUUAGUGUUGCGUUUUUUUACCAUCCCUGUGGCUGAAUAUUACUAUGGUGAAAUGUUGCACGAAGUUUAGGACGAAACAUCAGGACCAUCAGGUUAUUGAAUAAAUAUCUGUUUAUAUAAAUUCAACAAAAUAAAACAUGAUUUAAAUGUAAUCUUCUCAAAGUUGAUAAAUUGAUGAAUAUUUAUUAUUUUAUUUUAUUAAUGUUGAGGAUUUUUGAUGAAGAUAAUGAUUGAUAUCCAUGACGACAUUGACGUCUAAUUACAAUUUUAGUAACGAUGAGUAGGUGUCUAAUACAAAUACUUUAUUUAUAACGCUAAGGAAGAUCUUAGGUAACAGAGGUCCGAUAAUGAUGAUGAUGUAGGUAUAUGACUGAACAUGUCUACUAGUUAAGUAAGUGUCGAUGUCGGCGACAAUGUUUGCUCCAUGACUAUGACAGGGUCAAUAACUGGCCAUAUCGAUGAUAAAAACGGAGCUGGAUGAUUUCGAUGACAAUGUCGGCGAUAAAGCUUGACUGACCACUUUGAUGACGAUAUAUAGAUGACGUUUAUAGUAAGAUUAAUUGAUGAUGGUAAUGAUUGACUGAUUCCAUGUGUAUAAUCAAUGAUUAAAUUGUUGACGAGGACUGAGACUAAAAUGAUCGUUGCUACUGCCAAUAAUUAUAACAUUUGUUUUUAUUUUUUUUAUGUUACAACGCUGGUAACCUGGCUGAAUGGAUGAAGUUGAUAAUGAGCGAGGGCUUCGCAGCAAGAGCUGACUGAAGUAAAGGAGGUUAAACUGUUAAGACGGUGCUGCCAGUAGUGGGCAGGGCCCAAGCUGCCGAUGGACAGGGCCACAGAGCGAGGAACCGACAUACAUACGUGCCGUGUCCAAGAUUACUGCCUUCUGCAUCUGAUCCUUGAUCCAGUGACCAGCGAGAGUAUCUACAGGUGUUGUUUUGGACUCUUAGCUGACAAGAUUGCUAUUAUAUUAAUAUUAUGAAUCUAGAAUAUAACCGUUGAGUUUUGGCAGACUGUCUAGUGCAGGCCGUAAUGGCAGACUGUCUAGAGCAGGCCAUGACUGUUUAUUAUGUUAGUUUAUGCUUUGGCAAAGUUAGGUUCUUGUAAUAUGGGCCUUGUUGUCUGAUCCAAAUAAAUAUAUAUACAUAUUAGUUUAUACUUUGACAAACUGUCCAGCGCAGGCCUUGAAGGCAGACUGUCUGGGGCAGGCUUUGAUAGCAGACUGUCUUCUAGAGCAGGCCGUGAUGGCAGACUGUCUAGACAACUCAAGUCUAGAGCAGGCCAUAACAAUUUAUACUUUGGAAUGAUAUCUAGAGCAGGCCUUAAGGGCAGACUGUGAAUGUUUAUGAUGAAUUAUACUUUGUCAAACUAUAGAGUAAGCCUAAAUGGCAGACUGAGAUUGUUUAUGAUAAAUUAUACUUUGCCAAACUAUUUAGAGCAGGCCUAAAUGGCAGACUGAUUGUUUUGAUGAAUUAUGUUUUGCAAAUCAUUUAAAGCAGGUCUUAAUACUGUGAUUGUUUAUGAUGAAUUAUGUUUUGCCAAACUAUUUAGAGCAGGCCUAAAUGGCAGACUGAUUGUUUUGAUGAAUUAUGUUUUGCAAAUCAUUUAAAGCAGGUCUUAAUACUGUGAUUGUUUAUGAUGAAUUAUGUUUUGCCAAACUAUUUAGAGCAGGCCUAAAUGGUCUUAAUACUGUGAUUGUUUAUGAUGAAUUAUGUUUUGCUAAACUAUUUAGAGCAGGCCUUAUAAGGGUAGACUGUCAUUGUUUAUGACGUUUUAUACUUUGCCAUACUGUAUAGAGCAGGCCUUGAGGGCAGAUUGAGAAUGUUAAUGUUGGCUUAUACUUUGGCAGAUGUCUAGACCAGACCAAGACUGUAAGUUAGUUCAUAUGUAUUGAAAGUUUAUUGAAAGAAGGCUAUUAAUGCUACCAGGUGCUGGUUGUAUUAAAUUACUGUUUAGUGUUUAUAUGAUCUCAGGUUAUAGCAUGUGAAGAUUGUGAAGUGUGAAGACUGAUUUCUCAAUAAGGCUAAUAUAUGCAACUAGUCAUUGGUUGUGUGAUUGACUAAUAAAAGUCUAUAGUCAGAAGUUUACAAAAACUGUUCUUAUGAAUGUUUGUUAGAUAUCGAUAAAAUUGUUAUGAUAUAUUGCUGUUGUUAUUAAUGUACAAUUGUUUUUAGUGAGAGGACUCACUAUAAAUAAAAGGACGGCCGAGUUGUAAGCAUCACAAUAGUUGAUAUCCUGUAUGUUACUUUAUACUGAUAAUAAUCACAUGUAGUAUGCACCUGACUUUAUACUUUUUGGUUAUUGUAUCUAUGGUCAUGUUUGUUGAGGGAGAACUGUCAGAUUUUGGCGGCGCUUCAUUGCCCGAGGUUAUGUUGGAUUUGUUCUUUGUAAUCUUAUAAUUAAUCCUGUAUGUCGCUGUAAUAAAAGAAAUAUUACUGGAAGCAGUGGUUUGUGUGCUAAACCCCUUUUACUGAGCAUUAAAUCUAUGGAUGAUUUCAAUACAGCUUUAGUGGGUUCAGAAGGAACCGAGUCAUAACGCAUCUGGAAAGCGUAUUAAUUAACCGUGAAGAAAUGUAUGAAUACAAGUUAGAAAUCUGUGUAAAAUGCCGUGUGUAAAGUGUAGUGUAUCUGUGUGUAAAGUGUAAUAGGUAGGUAUGCCUAAUGUUAUUUGUAUAAUACUGAAAACUUUGUGAAUGCGCUUUAUUAAUGUCUAUUUUUAUUAAGUUGUCAGGGUUUAAUUUUCAGUGUAUAUUUCUAUAUGUAAAACAUAAUACAAUGUUAUAAACAUAAA